UGGCUCUUCACAGUUGUUUCUGUGCUCCCUCUUAGUGCUCUGAAAUCUUGGGCUCCUCUCCCUCUUGAUUGCUGGCUGAAAAUCUUGGCUUGGCACUCCCAAGCUGCACACCACAGCUCUGGGACAAUCUCAAGCUUUAUAUCCCUUCCCAUCUUGGAGGAAUCAGAGGAAGGAAAGUUAGCAGUGGUUGUGACAGAGGGUUUUUCACUUGUCUCUUGGAGCUCCACCUCAGAAAGACGCAGAGCUGCUAUCAAUCAGUAUGAUUGGCCUAGGAUGGGGCAGCUGUGCUGUGAGACCAACCCAUGGCAGACAUCCAGCUGAUCACACUGUGUCCACAUAAGGCAAAUGCUGAGCUGUAAUCCAUCAAGCUGUUUCCAAAAGAAUCAGUUUUAGAUUCUUCCGUCACUACAUUUGCUGCCUCGUACAUUUAAUAUGAUGCUCCAAAAUGAGAAAACUGACAAGCAAGCAGAACAGACAUAAUUGCCUGAGAUUUAACUUCAGAAAGCAAAACUAAGUUUCCAAAAUAUCAAAAAUAUUUUAAGUGUUGUUGUAUUUGUUGUUAUAUUAAUACAUGAUUUGGUUUUAUUGAAAUAAAAUAAUAAAUUUUGUAUGUUCAAGUAUCACUUUUCUUCUGCCUUUAUCAAAUUUCUAAAUUGCUUGCAGGUGCAGCUACAUUCACAACAAAUUCCUUUCCUUGAGGUUAUUCUAAUGGCUCCAAUAAGAGAAAAAAAAUCUUCCUCCUAUUACACUGUAUUAAUGACU
rnacentral:lncRNA from 10 species